GCAAACUAAGUUGGAUCUUAUUUAACUACCUUCAGCUUACAAAGCCCUUUUCUAGAAAGUCCUGGAAGAGAUUCUAGAAUUAGAACACUGUAAAGAAACCUAUCAACCCUACUUUAAUUUAUAGAUACAAUACCAAUCAAGCAGCACAUUCAACUAAAAAUACAAACGCGUAUGAUGACAAGACUAGAAAAAUUCCAUAAAAAUAGUCUAAAUAAUACCUAAAGAAAUGCAAGCCACAAACAAUUUGAAGCAUACACAAACCAUGUGAACAAGUAAAUUGAAUUAAGAUAACUAACAAGUAAUUGGCAAUAACAAAAUCCCAACUAACAUCAUACACAAAGCUAAACUAACUCAACUACAGAACACCUCAACUGCAUCAAUUCAACUACAGAACACCUCAACUGCAUCAAUUGGACAGCCCGCAAAUGAGCUAUAACUCAUUUGCCUUGAAUAUUCUAGAGUGCUGUUCCAUGUGAAGUAUUUGAGAAAUAACAAUUAUCUGAUCUUAUCUUUGUCAAUUCUCAUAAAAUCUACCUUGUUCACCAUGUUUCCAAUGUUUCCUUCAAAACUGUAAUUGAUUUCUUUGUUUGCAAUGAUAAUGUUAUACAGCUAGAAGGCUCUUUCUAAACUAGUUUAACUGACUGACAGAAAGAGAUACAGUACAUUGAAUUUUCAGCCUGCAUUAAGCAGCGUCAGGUAGGAGAAAGUCCAGUUAAGGAUAGAAACAAAAUUAAGUCCUAUUACUAGUAAUGGUAUCAUCCCAGUUGUUGAAUGAAUGCAGUACCACUGAUUCUCCACUUCCUUUUUAUCGUCGUCCUAAAGGGUCGAAUUUAUACAUAUUAAU
rnacentral:lncRNA from 1 species